rnacentral:rRNA from 1 species
UACGGGGGGGGCAAGCGUUAUCCGGAUUCACUGGGCGUAAAGGGUGCGUAGGCGGGUUUCUAAGUCAGAGGUGAAAUCCUGGAGCUCAACUCCAGAACUGCCUUUGAUACUGGAAGUCUUGAGUAUGGGAGAGGUGAGUGGAACUGCGAGUGUAGAGGUGAAAUUCGUAGAUAUUCGCAAGAACACCAGUGGCGAAGGCGGCUCACUGGCCCAUAACUGACGCUGAGGCACGAAAGCGUGGGGAGCAAACAGG